AUUGAACGCUGGCGGCGGGCCUAAAACAUGCAAGUCGAACGAGUGGCGGACGGGUGAGUAAUGUCUGGGAAACUGCCAGAUGGAGGGGGAUAAAUCCUGGAAACGGUAGCUAAUACCGCAUACCAUCAGAUGUGCCCAGAUGGGAUUAGCUUGUUGGUGGGGUAACGGCUAACCAAGGCGACGAUCCCUAGCUGGUCUGAGAGGAUGAUCAGCCACACUGGAACGGAGACACGGUCCAGACUCCUACGGGAGGCAGCAGUGGGGAAUAUUGCACAAUGGGCGCAAGCCUGAUGGAGCCAUGCCGCGUGAAUGAAGAAGGCCUUCGGGUCGUAAAGUACUGUCAGCGGGGAAGCGUUACCCGCAGAAGAAGCACCGGCUAACUCCGUGCCAGCAGCCGCGGUAAUAC
rnacentral:rRNA from 1 species